CCUACGGGAGGCAGCAGUGGGGAAUAUUGCACAAUGGGGGAAACCCUGAUGCAGCGACGCCGCGUGAGUGAUGAAGUACUUCGUUAUGUAAAGCUCUAUCAGCAGGGAAGAAAAUGACGGUACCUGAGUAAGAAGCCCCGGCUAACUACGUGCCAGCAGCCGCGGUAAUACGUAGGGGGCAAGCGUUAUCCGGAUUUACUGGGUGUAAAGGGAGCGUAGACGGCAGUGCAAGUCUGGAGUGAAAGGCGGGGGCUCAACCCCCGGACUGCUAUGGAAACUGUACGGCUUGAGUGCAGGAGAGGUAAGUGGAAUUCCUGGUGUAGCGGUGAAAUGCGUAGAUAUGAGGAGGAACACCAGUGGCGAAGGCGGCUUACUGGACUGUAACUGACGCUGAGGCUCGAAAGCGUGGGGAGCAAACAGGAUUAGAUACCCCAGUAGUC
rnacentral:rRNA from 1 species